rnacentral:rRNA from 1 species
UACAGAGGUCCCAAGCGUUGUUCGGAUUCAUUGGGCGUAAAGGGCGCGUAGGCGGCCCAGUGUGUCGGGUGUGAAAGCCCACCUCUUAAAGGUGGAAUUGCAUUCGAAACUACCGGGCUGGAGUGUCGGAGAGGAUGGCGGAAUUCCUGGUGUAGAGGUGAAAUUCGUAGAUAUCAGGAGGAACACCGGUGGCGAAGGCGGCCAUCUGGACGACAACUGACGCUGAGGCGCGAAAAGCGUGGGGGAUCAAACAGGGAUUAA